GGGUAACGGGGUGUUAGGGCACGACACCGGAGAGGGAGCCUGAGAAACGGCUACCACAUCCAAGGAUGGCAGCAGGCGCGCAAAUUACCCAAUCCCGACACGGGGAGGUAGUGACAAUAAAUAACAAUAUAGGGUUCUUUUGGAUCUUGUAAUUGGAAUGAGUACAAUUUAAAUCUCUUAACGAGGAACAAUUGGAGGGCAAGUCUGGUGCCAGCAGCCGCGGUAAUUCCAGCUCCAAUAGCGUAUAUUAAAGUUGUUGCAGUUAAAAAGCUCGUAGUUGAAUUUCGGGAUCAAUAUGUUGGUCGUGCCUUGGUACGUACUAAUUUAUUGGUUUCUUCCUUCUGACGAACCAUGAUGUCAUUAAUUUGGUGUCUUGGGGAAUCAGGACUGUUACUUUGAAAAAAUUAGAGUGUUUAAAGCAGGCUCACGCUUGAAUACAUUAGCAUGGAAUAAUGAAAUAGGACGUUUGAUUCUAUUUUGUUGGUUUCUAGGAUUGACGUAAUGAUUAAUAGGGAUAGUUGGGGGCAUUAGUAUUCAAUUGUCAGAGGUGAAAUUCUUGGAUUUAUUGAAGACUAACUACUGCGAAAGCAUUUGCCAAGGAUGUUUUCAUUAAUCAAGAACGAAAGUUAGGGGAUCGAAGACGAUCAGAUACCGUCGUAGUCUUAACCAUAAACUAUGCCGACUAGGGAUCGGAUGAUGUUAAUUUUUUAAUGACUCAUU
rnacentral:rRNA from 1 species